CUCUCCGUAGGGGAACCUGCGGAGGGAUCAUUACCGAGUUUACAACUCCCAAACCCCUGUGAACAUACCACUUGUUGCCUCGGCGGAUCAGCCCGCUCCCGGUAAAACGGGACGGCCCGCCAGAGGACCCCUAAACUCUGUUUCUAUAUGUAACUUCUGAGUAAAACCAUAAAUAAAUCAAAACUUUCAACAACGGAUCUCUUGGUUCUGGCAUCGAUGAAGAACGCAGCAAAAUGCGAUAAGUAAUGUGAAUUGCAGAAUUCAGUGAAUCAUCGAAUCUUUGAACGCACAUUGCGCCCGCCAGUAUUCUGGCGGGCAUGCCUGUUCGAGCGUCAUUUCAACCCUCAAGCACAGCUUGGUGUUGGGACUCGCGUUAAUUCGCGUUCCCCAAAUUGAUUGGCGGUCACGUCGAGCUUCCAUAGCGUAGUAGUAAAACCCUCGUUAGUGGUAAUUGGUCGCGGCCACGCCGUUAAACCCAACUUUCUGACC
rnacentral:rRNA from 1 species